rnacentral:rRNA from 1 species
GACGAACGCUGGCGGCGUGCUUAACACAUGCAAGUCGAACGGAAAGGCCCUGCUUUUGUGGGGUGCUCGAGUGGCGAACGGGUGAGUAACACGCGAGUAACCUGCCCUUGACUUUGGGAUAACUUCAGGAAACUGGGGCUAAUACCGGAUAGGAGCUCCUGCUGCAUGGUGGGGGUUGGAAAGUUUCGGCGGUUGGGGAUGGACUCGCGGCUUAUCAGCUUGUUGGUGGGGUAGUGGCUUACCAAGGCUUUGACGGGUAGCCGGCCUGAGAGGGUGACCGGCCACAUUGGGACUGAGAUACGGCCCAGACUCCUACGGGAGGCAGCAGUGGGGAAUAUUGCACAAUGGGCGGAAGCCUGAUGCAGCAACGCCGCGUGCGGGAUGACGGCCUUCGGGUUGUAAACCGCUUUCGCCUGUGACGAGGCGUGAGUGACGGUAAUGGGUAAAGAAGCACCGGCUAACUACGUG